rnacentral:rRNA from 1 species
GACGAACGCUGGCGGCGUGCCUAACACAUGCAAGUCGAGCGAACAGACCAGGAGUUUGCUCCUCUGACGUUAGCGGCGGACGGGAGAGUAACAUGUGUAUAACCUACCUAUAAGACUGGGAUAAUCACGGGAAACCGGCGCUAAUAGCGGAUAAUAUAUUGAACCGCAUGGUUCAAUAGUGAAAUUCGGUUUUGCUGUCACUAAUAGCUGGAUCCGCGCCGCAUUAGCUAGUUGGUGAGGUAACUGCUUACCAAGGCUAGGAUGCGUAGCCGCCCUGAGAGGGUGGUCGGCCAGACUGGGAGUGAGACAGGGUCCAGAGUCCUACGGGAAGCAACAGUAGGGAAUCUUCCGGAAUGGGCGAGAGCCUGACGGAACAACGCCGCGGGAGUGAUGAAGGUCUUCGGAUCGGAGAGCUCUGUUAUUAGGGGGGAACAAAUGUGUGAGUAGCUAGGAACGUCUUGACGGUACCUGAUCAAAAAGCCACGGCUAACUACGUG